GGGGCGGCCGUUGGCGGGCGAGCGGGGAGGGGAGGCCGUGGCGCGAGCCCCAGUGUUCUGGGCCGUUGGGCGGCGCGCGGGGCGGCCGUUGGUGAGGAGGCGGCCGCAGUAGGGCCGCGUGGGGAGGCGAAGGUACUUGGCGACCAAGGUUGGUGCCGCAGUUGGGACGGCGCGGCGCGCUCUCCUCCACAGGCGCGGUCGGGCCCGAGCGGAGCCGCUGAGGCGGAGGAGCGGGGCGAGCGGCAGAGUGUCGAGGCUGGAAAUACAGAGAUGAGCAUCUGUUGCUGUUGAAGUUCUUCCCAAAGAACGUAUUAUGCAAGGCAAAAGUUCUUCAGUUGUGAUGACAGAAGAUCAUGGGGUAAAUAACAGUACCAGCAGUAUUUAACAGAGCAAAACAGCUUCCUGAAAUAAUUCGACUGACAUUCAAACAUAUCCUAAAGAAUACCAUGCAACUUUUCCUGAAGUUUCAGACUGUUUCUGUGAUGACCAGAAGACCCCUUCAAGUGGUAGAGCACAUGGAAAAUACCAAAAGCAAGCCUUAUUUACUCAGUAGGGAGAGCAGUUAUAAUUUGCAGUUUCUUCAAAGAAGCAGGGUGCUACAGAAGAGUUGAAAGGAUGUGGGAAGCUGCUUGCUGAGAGGCCUUAUUUUUGCAAUUUGUGGUACAUUUCCAGAUUGAUUAGCAGGAAGAGCUACAUGUGACGGCAGCUGCCAUUUUUUGAGGACAUGUUCCAUCCUGCCAGAUGUCUUUUUCACAUAACAGUAUAUUUUCUUCAUCACCACGGCAACGUACUUCACUCCAGUAAACAGGGAUAAGGCCCAGUCCAGCAAAUGGUCUCCAUGGCAGAAGUUGGUCGCUGCUCUUUCUAUAUUUACAGAAUGCACAGUGGCAACAGUGGAAGACUUUAUUCACAUAUACAGAGGAGAACAUGAUUUACAGCUGCUUAUAGGAAUACUAACAUCUUAUGAAAGGCAUUAGGAUACAUAACAGACUGUUCAUCUCACAAGAAUAUACAAUAAAGAACUGGCCUCUAUCAGAUGGGAACAAAAAAGACACAUGAUGGUUAUUAAAGACAAAACUCUUACUUUAUAAUGAAACAUACAUCUGUGCUUCAUGUGCAAGUUGAUCAUAGGAAAUUGCAAGCUGACCAACGUAAUCUGCUGUCAGGUGUUACAAUGUGGGAUGGUUUAAUUUUAUUAGACUUCUGGGGAAAAAAAAAUCAAGUGAUGGAGGAAUGCCACAGAAGGGCCCUGCGCUGAUAUUUCAUCUCUGAAGUCUUGGAGUCAAAUGUUAGGAGCAACUUCCAAGCGCACCUUUAUGUUCCCCUCCCAGGAGAGCCACUUGGUGGACCUCAAGUGUGCAACGGCAUGAAGACACAGUGGAUGAGCGGGCGGCGUGAUGCAAGUGCAAUGCCAGGAGUGCACCAACAUGACCGUGUAGAUACAGCAGAGAGCAUGUGUAUACAUGCUUUAUUGCCUUAUGCUUGGAGUAAGACGUAAAUACAGCAUCACAUGUGCUGCAGGCUGUUAACUAGGUGAAAGCAUUAGUAAGGCUUCAUCUGCAGCUGAAUGCCUAGUUUUGGGAACUGCCACUUGAGAAAGAUUGGACUCCAUUAACUGUGAUUACAGGAGGGAGAAGGAUCACAAUCUUAGUCUACAGAGCAGCAGAGUGAGAAGAAAUGUGACAAAGGUUUUCCAGGACAGAAAGGACUGUUGCACGGAGGAUACGAAUAAACUUCUACAUAUUGUGGUGAGCUGUAAGAAAUGUAUUUCUCUUGCUCUCCAUAUGAAGUAGUGAUUGUAAAUGGCAGCAAUAAAUAUUUAGACUGGACACUAGGAAACAAAUCUAAAUGUAAGAACCAAGAAACUCUGGUGUGGAUUCCCUGGGGAGGCUGAUGCAUUUCCAGCACUGCAUAUUUGUAGGUUUGACAAACAUGUCAGGGAUGAUAUCAGUAAAGCAAAUCUUGGCUUUGGAUAUGAGAGUGGAUUAGAUGAGCUCUAGAGUUCUCUCACAACCGUGUUUUGAUGGUUCCAUGAUAAGGUGCAAGGCCACAGAAAAUCAUGAUGUAAAUGAAAUACUCCAAUAUCAGUGAUCAAAUCCAAAUCCAUAGAUUAGAUUAUGGCAUGGUAUAUACAUAGGUAUAGCUCUUCUUCACUCCAGACUGGCAAAAUGUGGCUUGGUAUUUAUCCUAACAGAAAAUAAGUGACCCCAGAUUGCACGUAAGGUUCAGACUGCCAAAACCACAGCAAACAGAGAAGAAAGGGAAGGAGCAUUUUGCAAAAAUAUUGACUUUUUAUUUUGAAACAGUGUAUGUAUAACAUAACAUCUUUCAUAGCUAUUAGUGUUUGUUAAGAUUAGCUUGUCUUAGCAACCAGUUCUAAAAACAGAGCAUAGGCUCGCACAAACCUCUUCAUCGUAUCACAUCCAGGAGGAAGUGAUUUUGUUACUGUGCAGGGACUUCUACUGUAUUCAUUACAGCCAACAGUAGCAAAGAAGCAUACGGUAGUUUGAGAUAGCAUUUUUUUCCCCAUAACAUUUGUGUAUAUAGGACAGUAUAAGUAACAAUGCACCCCCUAAGGAGAUAAUAAGUCAUCUAUUGGUAUUCUGAGUUUUGAACAUUUAAAAGCCCCAUCAUGUUGCUGAUGUUCUACCACUAAGAAAUGUCAAUAGUUGAAAAUACUGUUUUCCUUCCGCAUUACUGUGCAUUGCUGCUCUAAUCUCCUUGUCUUCAUCUAUCUAUCUUUCUCUGUUUAAGUUUUGGCCUGCAUAUUUUGUUGAAAUAUAUACCAUAUAAUAAAGAGAGUAACAGUUUGUAUCACAAAACUGUGGGAUGGUGUCUGGCACUAAGAUACCAGUGGAGGAGCACAUAUGUUCUGUAUGAUGGAGAACUAAAUGUCACUGUUCAGCUCUUCCUGUCUACAUGCUUGGGUCUGGCAAUCAUAGGAAAGAUCGGUCUAUUUCAGGAAAGCAAACAUUAACAUUAACUAGACAUGCUGAGAUAAUUUAUAAUGUUUAUUUUUUCUUAAGUUUGCCUUACUGAGAUACUAAGAACUGAAGUUUAUUGCAUAUGACUUUUGAAUCAAAACUGUGUGCCCCUGCGGGUCUUCAUUCUUGUUUUAAUACACAUUGCUCAUAGAAUAAAAAUCAGCAUAUGAUAUAAAUUAUAUACAUUUAAAGACAGUAGAAGAUGAGAGGGGGAAAGGGAAGGAGCAGGAAAAGAGACCAAAAAUCAGAGAAAUGCCUUAAAAAUUUUGCAAAACUACCUCAAUCCAGGACUCUCUAACUGUUGGAAUAGUGGAAGCAGAACACAAAGGUCAAGGAAGAAAUAACUACAUUGGGUAAGAAAAUGUGUUAAAUUGCAGUUGCCCAUAAUGGACUUACUAGGGAGAGAAGUGUAGAAGAGUAGUAUUCUGACCCCAAAACAGAAUGACAGAGAAACUGUUAGACGUAGAAGUAUGACAAAAACUCAACAUAUUGCAGUAAACCAUCACAGCUGUGAAACAUCUUAGAGAAUAAAUCUUGCUGGAAAGACCUCUCCAAAGAUUUUGCAGAGUUGUUUGCUUGGAAGAAGUGAUGAAACAUAUUAAAAUGGCUGAGUGAAAACUAAUUUAACACCUAUAUUUGAAAACACAGACGCAAGUAUUCUGCUCAAUGACUCCUGAGAAGCCCAGAAACCAGAUUUCCAUCAAUGGGAGAUGUUACUGUUCAGAGUCAGUUUGUCUCUAUGUUAGAGUUAGUUUGUUUCCCCUUAGAUGUUGGGCAUCAUGCAAGAGUUCAUAACUAAGAGAUUUACAAUGCACCCAUUGCAAGAAGCCAUAUGUAUGUUAAUAUGGGAAAUCACCUCAGUUGCAGUGAUGCUCUC